rnacentral:ncRNA from 1 species
CUAGUCUGACUCUGUGAAGAGACAUUGAAGGUGUAGCACAGGUGGGAGGCUCGCAAGGGCCGGCAGUGAAAUACCACUACUUUGAUCGUUUCUUUACUUAUUCGGUCAAGCGGAAGGAACGGUCGAUGCGAUGCCGUCUGACGACACGCGUCGACUGCCGCUUUUGGUGCCAAGUCCACAGGACGCGUGCCCGCGCUGACGGCGGUGGCACGUGCCG